rnacentral:tRNA from 1 species
GGGUUUGACUCAGUGGUAGAGCACUUGCCUUGCAUGCAUGAGGCAUUGGGUUCGAUCCUUAGCACUACA